rnacentral:lncRNA from 1 species
UUUGGAAUCAGCUGGGGAGGCCAUGGCUUUAGGGCCAAUAGGAUGUCACCUUCAGUAGGGGUGGAGCCAAGUUUUGGAACGAAAGAAAGGGUGUGUUUUCGUGGGAACUGGGAAGUUUUGAUCCCUGUCCUGAGAAAUUUCAGGCUUAUUUCAUUUCAUGUGCACCAACCCAUAGGAUCUCAUUCCUGCUGCCGCUCUCUUUGAGAUUGUUCCUGCCCUGCCCACAGUGCUUCCGGCCACCAUUUUCCAAGCUGAAUGCCGACAACCUAAUUUACGACAGUGCUUUGGGAACAAGUGUGCUGUUCAAAACCAAGGUUGAAAAUCAAGAGUUUUGGCUCGGCGAACGCUUCGUCUUAAGUUCUAGGUGUUUGGGUGGAAUAUUUACCUCCUUCUAUAAACGAUAUGGCUCCAUCCUGGAAAAUGUUUAUCAUCGCAGAUGUCUAAUUUCCAAGACUGGAAACCAUUCUGUCAAGAUCAAAGGCCACCCUAAAAUUGUAGAUUUGGAGUUUGAAAUGACUUAGAUCUUGUUGGUCUCCCAUGUGUAUUCCUGAGUAAAUAUGAAUGUGUUCUAUUAACUUUAAGGGCAGGGAAAGCCUCUAAUAAAACUGAAUGGAUGAAAAGCAUGUGCAUGAAAUCUUUCAGGGAUUUUAAAAGUCUGUAUGGGGAUAUUGAAGGCAAAACAUCAUUUUGCACGUCAAGGCAUUGAAUGAGAAAAUGGAGCUCCUGCUCAACUGCAUAACUCUUUGAGAUCUUGGUAGGGUGAACCACCAGCAUCCAGCAGAACGGGACAUUUUUAGGAUCCAAGGACUUUCUUCUAAGCCACAAUAAGCUCUCUGCCACUAUUCUCAUAAUAAAUCUUAUAAAAUGAGAAGUAUCAACAUUUUCCCUUUUGAUUUGAAUUUCUCAAGUUACAUAUAAGCCUGGAGGUUUUUCAAUAUUUCUCAGAUCAUUUUAUGUUCUGUAAGAGGUUGCAAGGUUAAAAAAUGUGAAAUGAAUGCUAUUUUUCUACAGAAGCUUGCGGUCUUUACCAUUCCUUCCUCCCACCGUCCAUUACAACUGAUCCCAUCCACUCUUUAAAACCUUGACUUGAAAGUGCACUUUGUAUGCUGCUGGGUUCUAUUAGACCAAACUUGCUGAGAAAUUAAACUGGGGCAACAUUUGAACUAAACAGAAAAAUGCUUUGAAAGUACAAUUCAAAUUUCCGUGAUGUGAUUUGAUUCCACAGUGAACUUUAGCGUUCAUUGUGGGCUGAGGAAGUGACUUGUAAUGUAGCAUAUUGCAUGUUGAAGCCUGUGCGGAGGCUAUUGGUUUGG